UACGUAGGGGGCUAGCGUUGUCCGGAAUCAUUGGGCGUAAAGCGCGCGUAGGCGGCCCGGUAAGUCCGCUGUGAAAGUCAAAGGCUCAACCUUUGAAUGUCAGCGGAUACUGCCGGGCUAGAGUCCGGAAGAGGCGAGUGGAACUCCUGGUGUAGCGGUGGAAUGCGCAGAUAUCAGGAAGAACACCAACGGCGAAGGCAGCUCGCUGGGACGGUACUGACGCUGAGACGCGAAAGCGUGGGGAGCGAACAGG
rnacentral:rRNA from 1 species